GCCAAAACCCAAACAGCCCGGGCGGCGAAUUUUAGCAAAACCACUGUAUUUGUCCAUUUCCACGAACCAUCAUCAACGAGGGGGGAAGCACAACAGAGAAGUCCACUGCCACCUUCCUUCUCAUUUCUCUCCUUCCCAUGAUUUCUCUCUUGAAAGCUCGCAAUCCCUUUCGCUGCUCUCUCUUCAAUCUUCCCUUUCAACGUUUUUGCUCUGCUCUUACUUAUGUCUCUGUGGGGAAGAAAGAGGCUGCUAGUUUCGUUCAUCCUACGGCAGUUAUCCACCCAGAUGCAGUUAUUGGCCAGGAUGUUUCAAUAGGUGCCUUUUGUACCAUUGGGUCUUCCGUCAGGCUGGGAAAUGGCUGCCAUUUAUAUCCUGCAAGCCAUGUUUUUGGGAACACUGAGGUUGGCGACAGGUGCAUUUUGAUGACG